rnacentral:rRNA from 1 species
GACGAACGCUGGCGGCGUGCUUAACACAUGCAAGUCGUACGGUAAGGCCCUUUCGGGGGUACACGAGUGGCGAACGGGUGAGUAACACGUGAGCAACCUGCCCACAACUUUGGGAUAACGCUAGGAAACUGGUGCUAAUACUGGAUAUGUGCUCCUGCUGCAUGGUGGGGGUUGGAAAGCUCCGGCGGUUGUGGAUGGACUCGCGGCCUAUCAGCUUGUUGGUGGGGUAGUGGCCUACCAAGGCGGCGACGGGUAGCCGGCCUGAGAGGGUGACCGGCCACAUUGGGACUGAGAUACGGCCCAGACUCCUACGGGAGGCAGCAGUGGGGAAUAUUGCACAAUGGGCGCAAGCCUGAUGCAGCAACGCCGCGUGCGGGAUGACGGCCUUCGGGUUGUAAACCGCUUUCAGCAGGGACGAAGCUUUUUGUGGCGGUACCUGCAGAAGAAGCACCGGCUAACUACGUG